GACGAACGCUGGCGGCGUGCUUAACACAUGCAAGUCGAACGGAAAGGCCCUGCUUUUGUGGGGUGCUCGAGUGGCGAACGGGUGAGUAACACGUGAGUAACCUGCCCUUGACGUUGGGAUAACUUCAGGAAACUGGGGCUAAUACCGGAUAGGAGCUCCUGCUGCAUGGUGGGGGUUGGAAAGUUUCGGCGGUUGGGGAUGGACUCGCGGCUUAUCAGCUUGUUGGUGGGGUAGUGGCUUACCAAGGCUUUGACGGGUAGCCGGCCUGAGAGGGUGACCGGCCACAUUGGGACUGAGAUACGGCCCAGACUGCUACGGGAGGCAGCAGUGGGGAAUAUUGCACAAUGGGCGGAAGCCUGAUGCAGCAACGCCGCGUGCGGGAUGACGGCCUUCGGGUUGUAAACCGCUUUCGCCUGUGACGAAGCGUGAGUGACGGUAAUGGGUAAAGAAGCACCGGCUAACUACGUG
rnacentral:rRNA from 1 species